UUCUGGGAGGAUUGACAGAUUGAGAUCUCUUUCUUGAUUCGGUGGUUGGUGGUGCAUGUCCGUUCUUAGUUGGUGCAGCGAUUUGUCUGGUUAAUUCCGAUAAGAAGCGAGACUUUAUCGUAUUAAAUAAGUGCGUGGUUCC
rnacentral:rRNA from 1 species